AAGUAGUGUGACAUGCCCGUUUGGGAUAUACUAUGAUGUAUGUUAGUUAAUAUUUAAUUGCUUUGGGAUAACGGGAUGUUACACUUGC
rnacentral:pre_miRNA from 1 species